CGCUGGUAUUUAAAAAUAUCCUGAUGGACACAAUUACACCUUACAAUAUACCCUCAGUUCCGGGAUGAAUAUUAUCUGGAGCAGGUCAUUAACUCCAGGAAGGUCUCUGAGUUCCUCACACACUCUUACAGUGUUGGUAAAUGCACCACAUAUUAGACCGGUGCUCCUGUGAGAAUGCAGAUUUGAGUCAGUUCUGCAUUAUCUCCUAUAUCUCUCACUUAUUUCCUGUCCCUCUCCACUGUCCUGUCAAAUAAAAGCUUAAAAAGUCCUUAAAGGGAUAGUUCACCCAAAAAUGAAAAUUCUCUCAUAAUUUCCUCACCCUCAUGCCAUCCCAGAUGUGUAUGUAUUUAUUUCUUCUGCAGAACACAAAUGAAGAUUUUUAGAAGAAUAUCUCAGCGUUGUAGGUCUAUACAAUGCAAGUGAAUGAUGAUCAGAACUUUGAACCUCCAAAAGCACAUAAAAGUAGCAUAAAAGUAUCAUGCAAACAUAAGGGUAGCAUAAAAGCAUAAAAGUAACAUGCUAACAUAAAAGUAGCAUAAAAGUAUCAUGCUAACAUAAAGGUAGCAUAAAAGUAACAUGCUAACAUAAAGGUAGCAUAAAAGCAUAAAAGUAUCAUGCUAACAUAAAGGUAGCAUAAAAGCAUAAAAGUAACAUGCUAACAUAAAGGUAGCAUAAAAGUAACAUGCUAACAUAAAGGUAGCAUAAAAGCAUAAAAGUAUCAUGCUAACAUAAAGGUAGCAUAAAAGUAUAAAAGUAUCAUGCUAACAUAAAGGUAGCAUAAAAGUAUAAAAGUAUCAUGCUAACAUAAAGGUAGCAUAAAAGUAACGACUCCAGUGGUUAAAUCCAUGUCUUCAGAAGCGAUAUGAUAACUGUGGGUGAGAAAUAGAUUAAUAUUUAAAUCCUUUUUACAAUAAAUCUCCACAUAUACUUCUUUUGUUUUUGGAUGUUCACAUUCUUCGUGCACAUCACCACCUAGUGGGCAGGGAGGAGAAUUUAUAGUUUGGGAUGGUUUUGGAACAACAUGAAAGUGAGUCAAUGAUGAGAGAAUUUAAAGAGAUAGUUCACCCAAAAAUGAAAAUUCUGUCAUCAUUUAC